UGUACAGUCAUGAAGUCCACGAUGCGACGAGUGGGCGUGGUCUCAGACAGUGGCUUGAGGCGAUUGGUUCCUCCUGACGCGAGCUUUCCUGCCGUCAUGUUUCAGUUUGAUGGUGAAAAUCUUGUGCUGCCGCCGUUUGUCUGGGAACCACAGCUGCUCGCAGUAGCGCUCCGCCAUCUUGCGCUCUUUGGCGCUACCCGGCCACGCCCAUGCCGCCACCGGGGCGGGGAUGGGGCCCGGGGCAGCAUGGAGAACUGCUGCCCCGGGCGGGGACGACGCGAGAGAACUCCUGCCCCGGGCGGGGAUGACGCGGAGGCGGAAGCGGCUGAUGAUGCGAAUGUCUUGGCCUUCGGUGCUGCUGCAGGUGUAGACACCGCCGUCGGCCAUUUGGAGACGCUGCAGCAGCAAACCUCGCUCGGUGCGCACCAACCGCUCGUCCUCGCUAACAGGAAGCUGAGGAAAAAAGGGGAUUCUUUCUUUGGCUGUUUUGGAAAUCCCUCCCUCUCUACUAAAUAGUACACAUUUUGUCGUGCUGUUGGUAUGUGUUGGGAAUUAAUUACUUACUCAUUCUCUACCCUGUAAUCAUUAUUAUAUAAUCGACCGCAUAGUUGACUAAUAUGUUCCCAAAAAAUUCUAUUUUAGUGAGAUGGGAUUCUAGGGAAUGAGUCAAUGAUUGGGAACCCGGCCUGUGUUUGCGCUUGGUCCUUUUUGUCCGCUUGAGGUCACCACACUCACGUUCCACACUAGAAUAUCUGUGACUUUGAGUGUGUGUGGUUUUAAAGGUGGGGUCUUGACCCGGUGAGUCGAGUUUGCUGUUGUGAGUUUAGGUUAACAGCUUGCUCUUGGCUGGCUAACCGUUAGCCAAUCCGAAUGUCGAGCAUCUCAGCACCACUUGUGGCCGCAGUGGCUCGUGUACGAAUGUGUUUAUUAUGUGUUUAUUUUGGUUGUUUGUGUUUUCAAUAAAACGGUAGAAAGUGGGACCAACAGUUGUGUCUAUCCUAACCACCUGCGGAGGGAUUACAAUUCGUUCUAACGAGCAAUGGUAGCAGAGGUGGCAAAACCGGGAGGGCACCCUAAAUGCCCUUUUUUUACCCAAAGUGCCCCUAUGUGUGUAGAAAAAGUGCCUUUGGAGAGGGCAAAGUGCCCCUAAAAAAUUCCAUCAGCUCCCCUGCACCCCCCACCGGCGGCGAUUGGGUUUCUGACACAAAACCUUUCACCACCCCCCCGUCGACAAUUGGAUUUUGAUUAGUUACAUCAGCACCCGACCCCCAUCCCUCAUCGACGAUUAGUUUCGGAGCACUAUAAAGUGCCCCAAAAGUACUUUGCCCCCACACUUUCAAAGUCAAUCCGUCGCCCCUGGCUUCACUUACAUUCAAUUGUUGUCACAUUUCUGGGGCCAAUUAUACAUUACUCGUGCGCUCACUGUAGUAGUCUCGCCACACUGCACUAUUUGCAUAUCUGUUGUUGACCAAUACCGGCCACUCAUGACAGAGUAGAAUCUGCCCCACUUGCACACUGACUGAGGAGUAUCUGCAACAUUUGCACAAUCGACAUUGUCCCAAAUUAUUGCGCUACUAGUCACUUUAAACCGCAUACAUUCCUUGAAGUCUCGGCGCCCUUUGCACAAUGGUCAUUGCACCGGACUAUUGCGAGAUUAGUCAUUCGAACUGCUCUAAGUGCUAGAUGACUCUGCAUCUUUUUGCACAAUUGUCAAAAAAAAAUUCUGAUUCUGAUUAGCUUGUGUUGUCGUAACUUCUACAGGAGACACAUUGCACUUUGUUAUGGAAUUAUUCUUGUUAUUGCAUUAAUCUUUUCAGCCCUACUUUUAUUCUUCUAGCCCGAGCACAAAAGCAGCAGAAAAAAUCCAAAUAGGCAAAUCCCGACUAUGCAGGGGUUGCCUGUGAGCAUGUUUUGCUGAACUCACAGGAUGGCGCUCCUUGCUCUGCUGCAGCGUCCACGUGAGCGCCGCCUGCGACGAACGAGGGAAGCACUCCAGGAAGGACGCAUUGCCCUCCACGCCAUACGUCUCCCUCACCGACACACCACCCAAAACUCAAGCACAAAGACGUCCGUCGUAUUAAACACCACGAGGUCAAAGUGCAGCUUGUGAUGGCUAUCAAAUCAUCAUAAUAAUAUGAGACAAUGUUCAACUAUUUUAGGUGAUAAGAUUCAAUAGUUCAUUACUUACAACCAUCUGUGAUUGGACAAUGACUCCAGGGCUCGCCGUACACCGGGUCUUGCCCCCGUGCCCUCCUGACGCACAAGCACACCGACACGCUCAAUUUGGUGGUGACAAAUGUUUAUUGGACAGUGCAAUUGAACUUUUUCAUGAAGAACUCUUGGAGGAAAUGAGAAAAUGUUUUUUAAAACUCCUUCUGACAGGGGACUCUGCCAGACGUUCCCAGCAGACCCUCACAAUGCGUUUGGGUCUGCCAAGUUGGACCGGCACCUUCCCCCACCAUCAGAGCCAACACCCCACCAGCGCUCUCCAGUACCCCCUCCACAGACUCCAAGAAGGAUUUCAUCCCUUUAACCGUCGAAAUGUCUUUUCCUUUUUGGGUUUUCCCGGCUGGGUUUCUGAUAUUGACCAAGGAUGUCAGCCAUCUCUGUGAAUUGAAUGUUGAGGGCUUGUGAUGCCCUUUGAGACUCUCUGGUGAUACCCAAAUGAACCUGACUUGACUUGACAGUCGUUUCGUUUUAAAAUAAUUUUGCUUUCCAUCAUUUUUAUUUACAAUCAGUUGGUUAACGAACAUUUUGUUUAUGACUGUAUUGAUUUUCAAUCAUUUUCUCUACCAUCAUUUUAUUUGGCAUCUUUUUCUUUUACGAUUGUCUACCUUCAUUCUAUUAAAAAUUCUUCAUUUCGUUUCCAAAUGGGCACCACGUCUUUGGCAAUGUUCAGCAUUGUGUUCUCUUUCCAUCGGCCUCCUAAAUUGUCCUACGCAAAACAAAAUGUUGUUGUGUGAAAAAUGUGAAAAUGAUUCAGCUCAUUGCAUCUAUUAGCAGGAGUUAAAGUCGCGAGUCUUUUUUUUUUUUUUUUCACGAGCGAGGUUAGAAAGGAAAGGUGGUCAUAUAGCCACUAAAUGGAAAAAAAAGUUGUCAUCAUUGAAUGUACUGUUGCAAUCUGGCUCUUCUCCAUUGACAGUCAGGUUGUUAGUGUUAGCAGUGCACAUCAGUGUGGACACGCUUCCGACUAUGUGGGAAUUUUUUUUUUAAAAAAAUCAAGCACAAAAUGGUCUUGAAAUGAAAAUAUAGAAGACUGCUCGUUCACGCUCACUUUGACUUUGUUUACGAAGCCGAGCAUGUACAAGUGUGCCCCCUAGGCUACGUCUGCACGUACCUGUUGCCGGAGGCAAAGUACGGCGAGCAUGUCUGUCCGUCCCAGGCGCAGUACGGAUCUCUGGACAGACGACACUCGCUGCAGUCGGCGUACAAGUGGCACCGGUGGAACGCCAGCUGGGACACGCCCCCUUCGCUGGACACGUAAAGCUGUUGCUGCAGCAAGAAAACAGAAAUCGGAGGAUGUCACCUGACACACAUCAACAUGGCUGAACCCCCAUGUCCUUCCACUUCCUGUUUUGAAGUGCAGCUGGUUUCCUGUUUAUUUCUCAAGGUUUCCUUCCCACCGGCUGCGCCCGGAAAGUUCCUUGUAAACAUUUUCGGAUGUUGGACUGAGAGCGUGGUCAUGUGAUGUCCAAGAUGGCUGACCGAAAUCCUCCUUCCCACUUCAGCGCAAUCCUUUUAUUAAACAAAAUAGCUUAUUACUCAUUAUUCAUCUCUUUAAAGUAAUGAUACUAGCUUUUAUUGAACUAAUAUUUGAUGAACAUAAGGUUGACCUCCCACAAGCGUUGUCCUUUUGGGCUUUUUCGGGACACGAGGCGUCCGCACGGCUCUUCCGGGACCAGUGGAACAGCCGACAGCCACACAAUAACCGUUUUGCCAAAAAUCACCCAAAAACCACUUGAUAAAGAUAAAAACUGUUUGAGGAUAAUGCAACGCAAUGCUGGGAAUAGAGACAACAUGGUGUCCGUAAACCAUGUGAUGUGGAUUUAACCAAUGAGGAGCAAUGCGCCGAGUUCAAAGAGGUUGCAGACUUUCCUUUUUAUGACUUUGGCGCUAACCACUGGACCAACGUGCCGACCACGACAAAACUAAUCAUAAAAAAAUCGAGUCACAUGUUUUCCAUGUGGAAUAUCACCUGGAAGACGUUGAGUUCUUCUAGAACAAUCUCCUCCGUCUCCGAGGUCACAACCUUCAGCACCUUGCCGUCAUCUGCGGGAAAGGCAAGCAAACAAAUGAAAAACACAAAAAGGAACUCAAGCGUGCACAAGUGUCAGGCCACAUCUGCCGCUUUUGACUUCAAGGUCACCUUGGCCUUGACGGAGGCUGCAGAAAGUCCAGGAAAACUUCACGUCAGGCUUGCCAAGAUUUAUUUGUAAGAUUUUCCAAAUACUGUACAAUGCUACCUUUAAUUACGAGUACCGCAAAUUACUGUUCUUCUCCCUUUACAUUUCGUCGUCAUUUUCUAUAUAUUUAUUUGCCAUAAUUUGAGUUGGGAGUGAGCUUUAGAUUCGCCGCCCGCUCGAGUAAAGUGAAAAAGAUCACGAGUGAGGUACUGACCGGUUCCCAGAAACAAGACGACCGUCGUUCCGUCCUCUGUGUCUGGUCGGUCCACAACCAGACUGGUCAGCAGGUGGGACGCAUUGACGCGGGUGAAGAUAGGUCGCCCGCCCGCAGGGAGGACCGCUUCCCACAUGAGCUGAUGCCGCCGCAUGAAGCUCACCACCUCGUCCGGGAAAUCCUGCGUAGACUCGUGGAGAGCGUCGUACGUCUUGCUGGGACACUGUAGGACCGGUCGGAAACCGGUCAGACUCAUCAGAAAACCAUUCAGAGACCAGUCAGAUUCAUUGGAAACUAGUCCGGGACAGUCACUCGUUAAAGACAAGUCAGAAACCAGUCGGACUCUUGGAUGCACACUACCCGGCGUCAAGAACGCCUCCACUGGCAGACGAUUACGGAAAGUCAGUGGAAUCAUGAGGGACCGUCACAGCCCGGAAACUUACUCCCCCCACCCCCCUCCCUCUGGUAAAAGCCACAGGACAUUCAAGUCUAGAACCAUGAGGAUAAAUAACUGCUUCUACCACCAACCAGUGGAAGGCAUCUUCCCACUACCCCCACAGUGUGAACAAUUCUAUUUGAUUCUUUUCUAUUCUCAUUAGAAACAAAGUGAUGAGAUAUCAAAGUACAGGUAUUCAGUACUUAAAUAAAAGUACUGAUACUUGUGGAACAAACAACUCUGGUGAAAGUAAAACUACU